GAUGGUGAUGAGAGAACAUUGGAAUCUCGUUCGUCUGAGUGCGUGCUGAGAAAUGGAAAUCUGACUUCA